rnacentral:sRNA from 1 species
GUCUAGCCCAGAUAAAAGCGACAUCCUUUUUCUGGCUUUUUCUGCCAGAAAAAGAUAUAGCGGAUAGCUGGAAAUAGC